UACAGAGGGUGCGAGCGUUAAUCGGAAUUACUGGGCGUAAAGCGCGCGUAGGCGGCUUGUUAAGUCGAAUGUGAAAUCCCCGAGCUUAACUUGGGCAUUGCAUUCGAUACUGGCAAGCUAGAGUAUGGGAGAGGAAGGUAGAAUUCCAGGUGUAGCGGUGAAAUGCGUAGAGAUCUGGAGGAAUACCGAUGGCGAAGGCAGCCUUCUGGCCUAAUACUGACGCUGAGUGAGCGAAAGCCAGGGGAGCAAACGGG
rnacentral:rRNA from 1 species